rnacentral:lncRNA from 1 species
UUGGCAAAUUUGGAGGUAGUAAAGGAAACCCUAUCCCCUCCCAACAAAGGGUUUCAUGAGGAUUCUCUCUUAAUAGUUCUCCUCCAUUCAUUGUUAGGAAGAAGCUCCGAUGGCACAAACCAACCCAUUUUCUCUCUCUCUCAUACACAUACACACAAACAUACGCUAUCCUUCUCAAGGUGUGUAAGGCAUGUGUGCCCUCAAAAGGAGGGAGAGUGAAUUGGAAAAUAGUCACUGUCUUUGCUCCUUAUUGAUUGUCUCUUGUGGGGGAGAGGAAUAACUUUUUGCAUACUAGAAAGAUUAGGCGUAUUUUUUUCUUUUAUCUAUAAAAGAUGUCCUUUUGAGAGAGUAAAGUAAGUGGGAAGAUUAGGCGUUUCUUCUCUCAAAGCUAGCUUUGUACCAUAUAUUUUGCUCUUCCUAUUCCAUUUCAUAUAUGGAUUGAU